GGCUGGAUUGUGCAACCUCGACAUUUACUGGCAAAGAGACAGAGGUGAGCUUGGGGACAGGUCAUGGCUGGCCUCCCCCGCUCCCCUCCCCAGUUCUAUCCUCCAAGUCCCCGUGGCAUAUUCAGUCCCAAGGGCCAGGCUCAUACAGUCACGCCCUCUUGCUGGCACUUGGCUGAUCGGCAGGAGUUGGGCAGCUAAGCUACUGAGAGAGGCUGGCAAGGACAGACGUGCUGUUUUUUCUCUUGGAGCCUGCCCACCAUUUAAUUCAAGAUGCUUUAAUUGAACACCUACUCCAUGCCAGGCACACGGGGAAAUCAGAUGCAGUUUUGACACCAUCCUUACUCCUUAGUAGCUUAGAAUUCAGCAGAAAAUGAAGGCAGAAGUAUGUGUUGUCCUGAGUUUCUACUUUGGCCCUGAGAAGUUACCAUAGAAGCGUAAAGAAGGAAGAGACUUUCCAACCAGGGACAGCCCUACCAAGGCUUAGUUCAGAGGUCAUUUGGUGAGGACCUACUAUGUGCAGAAGACUCCCUAGACACCUCUCUGAGAUCAGGAGCCAUUCUGGUGGUGCUGAAAGCAGAGUGGACAAGAACAAGUCCUCACCAUCAGGGCACUCAUGCCCAGGCAUGGGAACAGACGACAAGCAAAUAGCAACCGAGUACAUAAUACAGCAUGACGUGACAGUGAGCAUCGUGAAGCAGAAGAAAGCAGGUGUUUUAGUCACUUUUUUGUUGUUAGGAAAAAAUAUCCAAUGCUUAUACCUUAAAGGAGACAUUUAUUUGGGCUCAUAAUUUUUAGAGGAUUUAGUCUAUAGUCGGCUGCUUCUAAGGCAAAGAUGGCAUAGCAGAGGGGAAUGGCGGAAGAAAGCUGCUCACAUCAUGGCGGUCAGAAGAAGAGAGACAGAGGAAGGAGAUGGGAGGGAGGCAGGGGGAUACAUCCCUUUGGGCCACAUCCCCCAUGAGCUGCUCCCUCUGACCAGUCCCCAUGACCUCACAGAGCAUUUAGCUAUGAACUCAUCAGUGGGUUGGUUGAAGGAGUGAGAGCAGGCAGGAGCAGAGCGAGCAUGGGUGUUGGCGUGAGCACAUUCUGCAGAUCUUCCCGGGGCACGCUCUAUCUGGUUUAGGUGAAAAUCAUCAGCAGACAAAACAAUCAGAUCAGAUGUUAAUACAGAAUUUUACAUGGUUGGAUAAGGCUGCUAGUUACCUGAACUUGCUGUUCAGUCUUCUCAUGCUCACUGAGAAAGGGCCUUCCUGGUGAUGAAAUACACAGUGCUGCCCCUUCACCUGCAUACUGAAGUCAUCUGUGGAGCUCGAACAGCUGCUACUGUCUGGGAUCCACCCCCACUGACUAUGCUGCCGAAUGGCCUGGUGUGCAGCUUGGCCUAGCGACAGUUAAAAAGUGCCCCCAGUUGGGCCGGGGAUUUAGCUCAGUGGUUUUGCCGCCUGCUGUGCAAGUGCAAAGACCUGAGUUCAAUCCCCGGUACCAAAAAAAAAAAAGUGCCCCCAGCUGAUUCUACCAGUGACCAGGAUGGACCAUAGCACCCAAAGGACCACCAUAAACUGUCUUGGCCCAGCAAAAUGUUUCCUAAUCAAGCCUUUCUGGUUUUUCUCUAGCUAAAGAAAUUUUGAAGGAUAGAGAAACAAGUUAAAUGACACUGUAAGGAAAUAGCCAGCCAAAUGCAGAGUGUGAUGUAUUCUUCCUGAAACAAUCUCAUUUCAUUUUUUCUAAUUAUCCAAUAGCUUUUAAAACAAAUCACUUCUGCACAUCUGCAGAAACUUGAUUCUGAACUGGAUAUUAGAUGCCACCAAAGAGUUCAUGAUCGUUAGGUGUGUGGUGACAUUAUGAUUAUGUAGGCAAUGUUUUAAAAGCCAUGUUUUUAGAUGUAAAAGGAUGAAAUGGUAGAAGGGCUAGGAUUUGUUUUGAAACACUUCAGCUAUAAAUCAAAUAGAUGAAGCCAGCACAACAAUACUUUGGAGUUAAUUGUUAAAUGUGAGUGAUGGGUAUAUGGAUGUUUGUUAUGUGAGCCGUUAAUUUUCUUUAUGUUUGACAUUUUAUAAUAAAG
ensembl:lncRNA